rnacentral:lncRNA from 1 species
CUCUGCAGGAAUAUUAAAGAAUGAAAGGAAAGAACAAAUUCAGACCUCAAGCAAAGUGUUUUCAUUACAGAGUUGAGUCUGAAGAGAGAGAUUCAUUCACAUAGAACGUAGAAACUGUAUGUGACAAAUCAGUGUCAUGACUGUUGCAUCGUCUCUGACUACAGUCUCAUCAGAAUAUACAUAUUUGCAGGGCUGGAGCUGGUAUUUAUAAGAAGAAUUCUUCCUAGAAGUGCAAAGCUACUAUCAGCAGGAACAAUGGUGCUUCUCAUGUGGCCUGUUCACUCCAGCUAUUAACAAGAUCUCUGUCCUAAUCCCAGCGUUGAAGACCUUUUUGCAGAAUUUACCAGGUGAGUGAUUUUCCCUGGACGUUAGUGAUUUAUGUGAACUCCAGAUCAGUGAAAUGCACAGUCUCACAAGGAAGGCCAUGCAACAUCUCACAGAUCACAGCCUUAAAAAGGAUCCAAAACCAGUCAGCAACCACAUCUUCCGUAAGUGAAAUCAGUCCAUCUUAUAAAAUCAUCUCAUAGGAGAGGAAAUGUCUAACAGUAAUAUUAAUUGAAUGUAACAACAAACCCAGGUAAAACUAUGGCUA